rnacentral:misc_RNA from 1 species
UUUCCGUCGGUGAACCUGCGGAAGGAUCAUUAUUGUAUAACCGAGGUGCGAGGGCUGUCGCUGACCCGAAAGGUCGUGCACGCCCGAGUGCCCUCACACACAUCCAUCUCACCCCUAUGUGCACCACCGCGUGGGUCCCCCUUUGGCUUGUUCGGAGGGGGGCUUACGUUUUCACACAAACUUUGUAUGCAGUGUAGAAUGUAUUUUUUGUUUUUGCGAUCUCGCAAUCAAUACAACUUUCAACAACGGAUCUCUUGGCUCUC